rnacentral:rRNA from 1 species
AUGAUUGAUCUGGAGACGCAGUUUCACCUGAGCUUCACCUGCCCGGCCCGCCUGCCCGACCUCUUCUCUUGGAUGCUACCAAAACGCCUUUCGGGCGCCAUGUGCCACGCCGCAGCUCACGCAUUUUCCUCCGGAUUCCCUCGGAAACCCAACUGUUCUCCCCAGCAGAAUGCCCGAGUUUCCCCAACGGUUGCCAACAUGGCAACGUGCUUCCAACACAUCGUGCUCAUCAUUGGUGGGAGGAAGGACGCGAAAGCGACGGCCUAUGCAGAAAUGAUAAUUGGGGAAGAAGAAGACACGAUGAGGAGGAAGAAAUCACACAUGGAGAAUGCGUCCGGGGACGGGAUGUGA